rnacentral:rRNA from 1 species
GAUGAACGCUGGCGGCGUGCCUAACACAUGCAAGUCGAGCGAUCUUCUUCGGAAGAGAGCGGCGGACGGGUGAGUAACGCGUGGGUAACCUGCCUCAUACACAUGGAUAACAUACCGAAAGGUAUGCUAAUACAAGAUGAUAUAAGAGAUUCGCAUGGAUUUUUUAUCAAAGCUCCGGCGGUAUGAGAUGGACCCGCGUCUGAUUAGCUAGUUGGUAGGGUAACGGCUUACCAAGGCGACGAUCAGUAGCCGACCUGAGAGGGUGAUCGGCCACAUUGGAACUGAGACACGGUCCAAACUCCUACGGGAGGCAGCAGUGGGGAAUAUUGCACAAUGGGCGAAAGCCUGAUGCAGCAACGCCGCGUGAGCGAUGAAGGCCUUCGGGUCGUAAAGCUCUGUCCUCAAGGAAGAUAAUGACGGUACUUGAGGAGGAAGCCCCGGCUAACUACGUGCCAGCAGCCGCCGUAACAC